rnacentral:misc_RNA from 1 species
CCCUGCAUAAAGACAAAGUUGGAGCUUCUCGAGUCAGAUUCCAUGCUGGAAUGAGAGUUUUCCUUCUCCAUUUUGACCCUUUCUCCUCUAGGCUUCUUACUGCUUUCUGCCCGUCCCUUUCCUUGAGGAACUCGUUGAGUUGAGCUAGCCACACUCUUCCAACUAAAAUUCUUGCUCCUGUUCUUCUCCCUUAAGUAACCCAACACUGCAGGAAGCUCAUACCUCAACCUUGGAGCACUGGCGGCUGUUGAAGACUUGCUACUUCGAUCCUCACUAUUCUCAGAAUCUGUGCCCAAAGCAAAAGCAGGGCCAACUGCAAAUCUGGAUUCCAAAAUUGGACCAUGAGUCACCAACCCAUCACUGAAACCCACAUUUCUAAACAUAUUAGCUGAUCCAGUAGAACCCUCACUAUUUUGUUUGAUCUCAGCUGACAAUAAGUUUGUCUGUUUGAUCCCAGAACUAGAC